AUACGUAGGGGGCUAGCGUUGUCCGGAAUUAUUGGGCGUAAAGAGCACGUAGGCGGCCCGGUUAGUCCGCUGUAAAAGUCAAAGGCUCAACCUUUGAAUGCCGGUGGAUACUGCCGGGCUAGAGUCCGGAAGAGGCGAGUGAAAUUCCUGGUGUAGCGGUGGAAUGCGCAGAUAUCAGGAGGAACACCGGCGGCGAAGGCGACGCUCUGGCCCGUUUCUGACGCUGUGGUGCGAAAGCUAGGGGAGCAAACGGGAUUAGAAACCCCGGUAGUCC
rnacentral:rRNA from 1 species